ensembl:lncRNA
CACUGUGCACCACCUUUCCCUUUUGGUAACUAUAAGGGGCUUUGCUAUGUUGUAAAGCUGUUUCUGUUUGUAAAGAAGUUCGUUUGGAUCCUGUUCUAGAAUCCACCUCUGCUUCCCUGAAGUGGCACUGGCUACCCCCAGCACUUGGCAGUUGGGACAAGGAAACGACAAUCUUCUAGAGUCAAAGGACUCAAUUUUGUUUGUAGGAAUCCUAGUGAACCCAAAUCCUAAUGGACUGAUGCUCUGACUUGGAGGAACAUGGAAAAUCACCCAGACCCCAGCGCCCUGGUGCUGGGGUCCCCAGUUCAAGACUUCUUCCUGAGAGUGCAGCCUCCUAGGCACCUCAGCAGGGAGUGGUGCCUCAGCCCAAGAAGCCAACUUUCCUGAAGGCUCAGUUUGCCUGAAGAACCAGAGUUGGACAUGAAACAGUGCUGCCUCCUUUGCGUGUAACUACAACUUAAAACAUCUUGCUUACUGACAACUCCAACUGACAAGUUCUGUGAGGUUGCUUAUGACAACUGCCCUCAGGAAAGGUCCUGGGAUACAAAACAUCUGCAUCUCUAAAGGUAAUCCCGAUGGACAUGAUUUUCAGCAGAUGAUACUUUCCUCGGCCUUCUGGAAUAAGCUCUGUGGAAAAUGAACCCCAAGCAAGAGAUGUGCUGUAAUGUGUAUGUCAUAACUGAAUCAGGCGGCUGCCCAACGACAAGAAGCACAAAACUGGAGAGUAAAGAAAAGUAAAAGAAGAAAAGGGAUGUCCGCUUUGUUACCUCCAACCUCCUUGACUUGGGCUGCUAUCCCACCCCUGGAACCUGAGCAGGCUUGGGUCCCACUGCUGGACUGGAUGGGGGUAGAAACAGACAGCUGGACAGGGUGCCCUUAACUGAGGCCCCACUUAAACCUGUGUGGUCUGGUUUUCUUGGCUGGUUUGCUUGUGAACAAAGUCCCCAGUGCACCCAAAAGAUGGUGGUCCAACCAUCUGACCACCAGGACCUUGGAAAAGUAACCUAGC